GAGCGCGGGCGGUACCCGCAGCCCCGGGAGCUUGGCGGCGGCGGCGGAGGGUCCCCAUGGCCCUCCCGGCGGAGGCGGCCCGGCUGGAUGGGGGCUGGCAGGAGGUCUACUCGGCUCUCCAGUGGAUACAGUUCACCAUGGCCAUGCUCAGUGUUAUAGGUUCCAGCUCAAUUAUUGCCUAUGCCAUCUUUCAAAAUGUGGUGCGG